GGGGCAGUAGCUCAGUGGGUAGAGCAUCAUCUUUAAUCUUGAGAUCAUCUUGAUAAAAAGGUCAAUUAAGAUUUACUUCUAUCCCGUGACGGUCGUCGGUUCGACUCCGGCCUGCUCCA
rnacentral:tRNA from 1 species